rnacentral:rRNA from 1 species
GACGAACGCUGGCGGCGUGCUUAACACAUGCAAGUCGAGCGAUGAAGAUUUGCUUUUGCACCAAUUUGAAGAGCAGCGAACGGGUGAGUAACGCGUGUGUAAUCUGCCUUUGAGCGGGGGACAUCAUUUGGAAACGAAUUCUAAUACCGCAUAACAACUUGAAACAUAAGGUUUAAGUUAGAAUUAUGCAAUUGCAUCACUCAAAGAUGGUCCCGCGUUGUGUUAGCUAGUUGGUGAGGUAAAGGCGCACCAAGGCGGGGAUACAGAGCAGACCGGAGAGGGUGAUCGGCCACACUGGGACUGAGACACGGCCCAAACGCCUACGGGAGGCAGCAGGAGGGAAUCUUCGGCAAUGGACGAAAGUCUGACCGAGCAAGGCCGCGUGAGUGAAGAAGGUCUUCGGGUCGUAAAACACUGUUGGCGGGGAGGAACGUUGGUGAGAGUGGAACGAUGAUCAAGUGACGGUAACUGCUCAAAAAGCACCGGCUAACUACGUG